rnacentral:rRNA from 1 species
UACGGAGGGUGCAAACGUUGCUCGGAAUUAUUGGGCGUAAAGCGCACGUAGGCGGUCUGUUAAGUCGGGCGUGAAAUCCCUCAGCUCAACUGAGGAAGUGCACUCGAAACUGGCGGACUUGAAUACAGGAGAGGGUCGCGGAAUUCCCGGUGUAGAGGUGAAAUUCGUAGAUAUCGGGAGGAACACCAAUGGCGAAGGCAGCUCGCUGGGACGGUACUGACGCUGAGACGCGAAAGCGUGGGGAGCAAACAGG